rnacentral:lncRNA from 1 species
UUGAUCUAUCUAUAUAAAAGACAUAUUAAGGAUAAAUCAGAAAUAUUUAACAAGAUAUAUUUUAAAUGUGAUUAAACAUGUUGGAACAUUUAUAGUUUAAAUUUGUAUAAUUUUAUGUUGUUGUAUGUAAAAUGCAUGGAUUUGAUAUUUGCGGAAGAAUAUUUUCUUGCAAUAAGUCUCCUGUCGGCCAUCUUGAAAGAAGGAGUGGAUAAUUUAUUGUGAGAAGACUGUUUUGAUGAUAUAAGUCGUUUUAUCAUUGAAUGCGACUUUCUAUGGUUUUUAUAGGAAGGUUCUGCAGUUUUCUUUAUUAACUAGGUGCAAACCAUUUCCAAACAUCGCAAUAGACAAACAACAUGUCAAUUUUGCAGACGUUGGAAGAAAAGGUCUGUUCCAGGUACUUUGCAAAUAUUCAACAGAUCUAAGUGUCAGUCUUCACUGA